CAGGAGAGAGAGGGAGGCGAGGAUUGGUGAAGAACUCCGUUGCCGCUGCGUGCCGUGCUUCUGGAUCGAGCGCUGCCUGACCAAGGGAUAAGAGUAUGAGGUAAAACUAGCCACCAUGCUCCUGUGCGGGCUGCAUCUCCACAUCUCCCGUUUCAUUAUUUCACCAUUGCUGCCUCUUCUCCUCUUCGUUGCUCUGCUUCUUCUCCUGAUUUCUCUUUUUCAUUUUUUCUCUUUGUGGCGCCGCCGGGGAUGAGAGGAGCAGCUGCUGAAGCAGGCGCGGUGCUGGUGCACUGCUGGCGAAGCGGUCGUCGACGGUGCCGUCGACGUCGUCCUUGGCAGAAGAAUUUCAUUCUCAGCUUCAUCGGCGUCAGCUUCAUCACCAAGAGGACGGACUCCGGAAGGUAGCCUCCUCCUAAGGCGCCAGACCGGGAUCAGCUUUGGUGGCAUCCGAUGCUGCCAGACCACUGGGUUAGAGCAGAGGAAGCUGACAUGGUGUUCGACAUUCAGAUGGUCAUUGUGAUCGACCAGAUGCGGCGCCUCAUGUCACCCCGAGCCUCCAGGGCUUGUUAGCGGUGCUCAUAAAGUAAGAAUAUGCUUGCAAGUGCUCGUUUCCCAUAUGCUUGCCCAUUCCUGUCUCGCAUCAAGCUUUCAUUUAUUUCCCUAAAAUUCCUCUAAUUUGAUGUGUGCAUGUCUGAGAAAGAAAUAAGAGGAAUAAGCUAUGGUAUGU